GCUUGUCUCAAAGAUUAAGCCAUGCAUGUAUAAGUAUAAACGCAUUAAGCGUGAAACCGCGAACGGCUCAUUACAACAGCUAUAAUUUACUUGAUCUUGACAAACUUACAUGGAUAACUGAGGUAAUUCUUGAGCUAAUACAUGCACCAAAGCUUUGACCGUAAGGGAAGAGCGCAUUUAUUAGAACAAAACCAAACGGCUUCGGCUGUUCCCAGUUGAAUCAGAAUAACUCAGCUGAUCGUACGGUCUUGCACCGACGACGUGUCUUUCAAGUAUCUGCUUUAUCAACUUUCGAUGGUAGGGUAUCUGCCUACCAUGGUGGUGACGGAUAACGGAGGAUCAGGGUUCGACUCCGGAGAAGGGGCCUGAGAAAUGGCCACUACGUCUAAGGAUGGCAGCAGGCGCGCAAAUUACCCACUCUCAGAAUUUGGAGGAGGUAGUGACGAGAAAUAACGAGGUUGAUCUCUUCUGAGGCCAACCAUCGGAAUGGGUACAAUUUAAACCCUUCAACGAGUAUCUAUGAGAGGGCAAGUCUGGUGCCAGCAGCCGCGGUAAUUCCAGCUCUCAAAAUGCAUAGAAUUAUUGCUGCGGUUAAAAAGCUCGUAGUUGGAUCUGCAGCCGGAGCUCCGGUCCAUCUUCGGAUGUGUACUGGAUGUCUUCGGCUUUCUGACAGUGUUCGGCUCUGUGCCUCUAACCAGGUGUGGAUGUCCGAUACUGUAAGUUUACUUUGAGUAAAUCAGAGUGCUCUAAACAGGCGUUUUGCUUGAAUGAUUGUGCAUGGAAUAAUAGAAGAGGAUUUCGGUUCUAUUUUAUUGGUUUUAUAGACUGAGAUAAUGGUUAACAGAGACAAACGGGGGCAUUUGUAUGGCUACGUGAGAGGUGAAAUUCUUGGACC
rnacentral:rRNA from 1 species